rnacentral:rRNA from 1 species
UUUUAUGGAAGCUUCGGUGGAAAUAGCUUGUUCCUAGUGGCGGACGGGUGAGUAACGCGUGGGUAACCUGCCUCACACUGGGGGAUAACAGUCAGAAAUGACUGCUAAUACCGCAUAAGCGCACGGGAUUGCAUGAUCCAGUGUGAAAAACUCCGGUGGUGUGAGAUGGACCCGCGUUGGAUUAGCCAGUUGGCAGGGUAACGGCCUACCAAAGCGACGAUCCAUAGCCGGCCUGAGAGGGUGGACGGCCACAUUGGGACUGAGACACGGCCCAGACUCCUACGGGAGGCAGCAGUGGGGAAUAUUGCACAAUGGGGGAAACCCUGAUGCAGCGACGCCGCGUGAAGGAAGAAGUAUCUCGGUAUGUAAACUUCUAUCAGCAGGGAAGAAAAUGACGGUACCUGACUAAGAAGCCCCGGCUAACUACGUGCCAGCAGCCGCGGUAAUACGUAGGGGGCAAGCGUUAUCCGGAUUUACUGGGUGUAAAGGGAGCGUAGACGGAGCAGCAAGUCUGAUGUGAAAGGCGGGGGCUCAACCCCCGGACUGCAUUGGAAACUGUUGAUCUUGAGUACCGGAGAGGUAAGCGGAAUUCCUAGUGUAGCGGUGAAAUGCGUAGAUAUUAGGAGGAACACCAGUGGCGAAGGCGGCUUACUGGACGG